GACUGUAAUGGUCCAACGGCGAAGACGUUCAAACACGCUCAUCUUCCCAUCCCAAUUCCACUGUUCUUCGGAAUAGUGGCCCUCUGCCGCGCCCCGUCCGAACGCCGCGGUGGCCGCCCACUCGUGCAGGAAACUCACGAUGCUGGUAAACCCCUUGGCGGUCCUGAGCGCUGGAGAUGACCCUUGAGGGAGGCUUCACUCUGCAGAGAUCUCUCCCCCGUCGCGUGGCGGGUGGGAAUACGCUUGGUGGAAGGGUUUGGGUUGGAUGAGGAUGAGAUGGAAUAUUCAACGCUUUCUU
rnacentral:SRP_RNA from 2 species